GGGCCCGUAGCUCAGUUGGUCAGAGCAGCGGACUCAUAAUCCGUAGGUCGCAGGUUCGAGCCCUGCCGGGCCCACCC
rnacentral:tRNA from 1 species